rnacentral:rRNA from 1 species
GACGAACGCUGGCGGCGUGCUUAACACAUGCAAGUCGAGCGGUAGGGCCCUUUCGGGGGUACACGAGCGGCGAACGGGUGAGUAACACGUGGGUGACCUGCCCUCAGCUCUGGGAUAAGCCUGGGAAACCGGGUCUAAUACCGGAUAUGACUCCAUGACGCAUGUUGUGGGGUGGAAAGCCUUGUGCGGCUGAGGAUGGGCCCGCGGCCUAUCAGCUUGUUGGUGGGGUGAUGGCCUACCGAGGCGGCGACGGGUAGCCGGCCUGAGAGGGCGACCGGCCACACUGGGACUGAGACACGGCCCAGACUCCUACGGGAGGCAGCAGUGGGGAAUCUUGCGCAAUGGGCGAAAGCCUGACGCAGCGACGCCGCGUGAGGGAUGACGGCCU